AGAAAAUAGUUCAAAAAUAUAUUAUCUCCAAUCUAGAUAUUCAGAAUCCCUUCAAUGACUUUCAGGUUACAGAGGAUAUUUUCCUAUUAAUGAAAUCAACUCAGAGCUCCUUAACCAGAUUCCUGGGCAAUAGCCAAUGGUCUUGGUUUUUGGCCCAGCAAAUAGAAAAUGGACAAUUUCUUUAUUCCAAGGAAAAGAACUAUGGAGAUGGUCCACUCAGCAUCAACUGGUAGUGCCAAAGUAAAAAGUUAAGAAAUCCCUCCAAGCAUUGUUAAGGAAGGAAAUAUAAAUCCACAGAACUCAAGUAACCAUUUGCAGUCAAGAUUCUGAUGCCAUAGGGGCUUCCUGCUUUGCUCAUUUCUCCUCCUUUCUGCUGCCAUGUGAAGGACUGGUUUGCUUCCCCUUCCACCAUGAUUGUAAGUUUCCUGAAGCUCUUCCAGCCAUGCUGAACUGCUCCUGGAUGGAAGGGACUUGCCUUGUCUCAGAUAAGACUUUGGACUUGGACUUCUGACUUAAUGUUGAAAUGAGUUAGGACUUUGGAGGACUGUUGGGAAUGCAUGAUUUUGUUUUGAAAUGUUUGGAUAUGAGAUUUGGGAGGGGCCACGGGUGGAAUUACAUGGUUUGGCCAUGCACCCACCCAAAUCUCAUCUUGCAUUUUAGUUCCCAUAAUCUCCACAUGUCGUGGGAGGGAUCUGGUGGCAAGUGACUGGACUGUGGAGGCAAUUUCCCCCAUGCUGUUCUCAUGAUACUCAGUGACUUCUCAUGAGAUCUAAUGGUUUUAGAAGGGGCUUUUCCCCCUUUUCCUCAGCACUUCUCCUUGCUGCUGCCAUGUGAGGAAGGACAUGUUUGAUUCCCCUUCUGCUAUAAUUGUAAGUUUCCUGAGGGCUCCCCAGCCAUGUGGAACUGUGAGUCAAUUAAACCUCUUUUCUG
rnacentral:lncRNA from 10 species